ACGGGAGGCAGCAGUGGGGAAUAUUGCACAAUGGGGGAAACCCUGAUGCAGCGACGCCGCGUGAAGGAAGAAGUAUCUCGGUAUGUAAACUUCUAUCAGCAGGGAAGAAAAUGACGGUACCUGACUAAGAAGCCCCGGCUAACUACGUGCCAGCAGCCGCGGUAAUACGUAGGGGGCAAGCGUUAUCCGGAUUUACUGGGUGUAAAGGGAGCGUAGACGGCAUCGUAAGUCUGAUGUGAAAGGCAGGGGCUCAACUCCUGGACUGCAUUGGAAACUACGAAGCUUGAGUGCCGGAGGGGUAAGCGGAAUUCCUAGUGUAGCGGUGAAAUGCGUAGAUAUUAGGAGGAACACCAGUGGCGAAGGCGGCUUACUGGACGGUAACUGACGUUGAGGCUCGAAAGCGUGGGGAGCAAACAGGAUUAGAUACCCUGGUA
rnacentral:rRNA from 2 species